rnacentral:tRNA from 1 species
UAACUAAUAGUUUAAAAAAAACUCUACCUCUUGAAUGUAGUGAUGGCUCUAAAGGCUUUAGUUAU